AUGGGGAUGGCGGCGGCGCCAUUGAUCGUGUCUCUGUUGUACUGCACGGUGUUGGCGGUGCACGCGUCGCAUGUCGUAUACCCGGAGCUCCAGUCGUUGGAGGCCACGGAGGUGGACAAGGAGCUGCGCACCGGGUACCACUUCCAGCCCCCCAAGCAUUGGAUCAAUGAUCCAAAUGGGCCGAUGUACUACAAGGGGCUGUACCAUCUCUUCUACCAGUACAACCCCAAGGGCGCCGUGUGGGGGAACAUCAUCUGGGCGCACUCGGUGUCGACCGACCUCAUCGACUGGGUGGCGUUGGAGCCCGGGAUCUACCCGUCCAAGCCGUUCGACAUCAACGGUUGCUGGUCGGGCUCUGCCACCAUUCUGCCCAACGGCGUCCCGGUCAUCAUGUACACAGGCAUCGACCCCAAGGAACGCCAGGUGCAGAACGUCGCGUACCCGGCCAACCUCUCCGACCCCUUCCUCCGCAAGUGGGUCAAGCCCGACUAUAACCCCAUCAUCAACCCCGACCAUGGCAUCAACGCCAGCGCCUUCCGUGAUCCCACCACCGCUUGGUACGGGCCAGACGGACACUGGAGGCUGGUGGUUGGCAGCAAGGAGAACAUGAGGGGGAUCGCGGUGUUGUACAGGAGCCGUGACUUUAGGAGGUGGAUCAAGGCACACCACUCGCUGCACGCUGGGCUCACGGGGAUGUGGGAGUGCCCAGACUUCUACCCCGUGGCGGUGGCCGGCGGCAGACGUCACCACCAGAGCGGUGUGGACACCGCAGAGCUGCAUGACAGCACAGUCGCUGCGGAGGUAAAAUAUGUGCUCAAGGUGAGCCUCGACGUAACGCGCUACGAGUACUACACCAUUGGCUGGUACGACCAUGCCAAGGACAGGUACACCCCUGACCUCGACUUCCCAGACAAUGACUACGGUCUCCGAUACGACUAUGGCGACUUCUAUGCAUCCAAGUCAUUCUUUGACCCGGUCAAGAAGCGUCGCGUGCUCUGGGGCUGGGCCAAUGAAUCAGACACUGUCCCCGACGACCGCAACAAGGGUUGGGCCGGCAUCCAGGCGAUACCGAGGAAGAUCUUCCUGUCACGGAGCGGUAGGCAGCUAAUUCAGUGGCCGGUAGAGGAGAUCAAGUCAUUGCGUGCGAAGCACGUCAAUGUCAGCAACAAGGCCGUCAAGGGCGGCGACUACUUCAAGGUCGGCGGCUUCAAAUCCGUGCAGUCGGACGUGGAGGCGGCGUUCAUGAUCAAGAACCUUGAGAAGGCGGAGAAAUUCAACGCGUCGUGGCGGACAGACGCGCAGGGGCUGUGCAAGAAGCUCAACUCACAUGUCAAGGGCGGCGUCGGGCCAUUUGGGCUCUGGUUGCUCGCCUCCGACGACCUCAAGGAAAGAACAGCUGUUUUCUUCAGGGUAUUCAAGAACAAUGACACCAGCUAUGUCGUCCUCAUGUGCAACGACCCUACAAGGUCGUCAUUCGAGUCGCAGAUCUACAGGCCGACCUUCGCCGGCUUCGUCAACAUCGACAUAACCAAGACCAAGAAGAUCGCCCUCAGGACAUUGAUCGACCACUCUGUGGUGGAAAGUUUUGGUGCCGGCGGCAAGACGUGCAUCCUGACGAGGGUCUACCCGAGGAAGGCCGUCGGGGACAACGCACACCUAUUCGUCUUCAACAAUGGCGAGUCGGACAUCAAGCUCACCAACCUGCGUGCAUGGGAGAUGAAGACCCCCACGAUGAACAAACGUCUGGGGCAGUAG
rnacentral:rRNA from 1 species